AAUCACUGGUUUCCAUAUGAUCACCAAAGUUAAGCAAUGUUGCACCUGGUUAGUAUAUAGAUUGGUGUUCACUUGGGAAUAGCAGGUACUGUAAG